rnacentral:rRNA from 1 species
AACGAACGCUGGCAGCGUGCUUAACACAUGCAAGUCGAACGCACCGCAAGGUGAGUGGCGCACGGGUGAGUAACGCGUGGGAAUCUACCUUUUGGUUCGGAAUAACACAGGGAAACUGGUGCUAAAACCGGAUACGCCCUUCGGGGGAAAAAUUUAUUGCCAAAAGAUGAGCCCGCGUUGGAUUAGCUAGUUGGUGAGGUAAUGGCUCACCAAGGCGACGAUCCAUAGCUGGUCUGAGAGGAUGAUCAGCCACACUGGUACUGAGACACGGCCCAGAAGCCUACGUGAGGCAGCAGUGGGGAAUAUUGGACAAUGGGGGAAACCCUGAUCCAGCAACGCCUCGUGAGUGAUGAAGGUCUUCGGAUUGUAAAGCUCUUUUGGCAGGGACGAUGAUGACGGUACCUGCAGAAUAAGCUCCGGCUAACUUCGUGCCAGCAGCCGCAGUAA